GGAAGGAUCAUUAUGGAAAAAUUCUUGA
rnacentral:rRNA from 1 species